AAUAGAUACCCCGGUAGUCCACGCCGUAAACGAUGAGUGCUAAGUGUUAGAGGGUUUCCGCCCUUUAGUGCUGCAGCUAACGCAUUAAGCACUCCGCCUGGGGAGUACGGCCGCAAGGCUGAAACUCAAAGGAAUUGACGGGGGCCCGCACAAGCGGUGGAGCAUGUGGUUUAAUUCGAAGCAACACGAAGAACCUUACCAGGUCUUGACAUCCCGCUGACCGCUAUGGAGACAUAGCCUUCCCUUCGGGGACAGCGAUGACAGGUGGUGCAUGGUUGUCGUCAGCUCGUGUCGUGAGAUGUUGGGUUAAGUCCCGCAACGAGCGCAACCCUUGUCCUUAGUUGCCAUCAUUCAGUUGGGCACUCUAAGGAGACUGCCGUACAAAUACGGAGGAAGGUGGGGAUGACGUCAAAUCAUCAUGCCCCUUAUGACCUGGGCUACACACGUGCUACAAUGGACGGUACAAACGGUCGCGAAGUCGCGAGACGGAGCCAAUCCGAAAAAACCGUUCUCAGUUCGGAUUGCAGG
rnacentral:rRNA from 1 species